AACUGUUUUUUUUUUAAAUCCCCUGUGGUUCGCGUUGCCAGGUUGGAAUCGCAAUUGGUUCUGAAGUUUUAUUUUAUUUUUUUAAAAUAAUAAUAUGACGUUUUUGUUCCAAAGAGCUUUAUGAUUUUCACACACACACACACACACACACACAUACAAACUAAAAAUAAAUACCGGUAACCUGACAAUGACACAUUCAUUCAUCGUAUUCAGGUCGGCAGCUCGGUGACCACUUCCUGUUUAGCAGCUAAUUGCUAAUCACUUAAUUACUCAUGCUGCGUUUACUUUUGCAGGAGGUCAGCCACCGCGACCUUGGGGGCUACUUUAGUUUGGAAAAAAAAAAAAAAGGGGAGUGGGGGUGGCUGGGAUGUGGAUGACGAUCGUGCCCUUUACUCAUAAGCAAAGUAAGAUAGCGGCACGAUACGGCACAUGUCAAACUCACCCACAGGUUGUUUACAUAAUAUGCAGAGCAAACACGUCCGAGGUUCCAGCGACUCGACUGACAUAUGUAUGGGAAGAGAUUUCGGGCAGCUUAGGGGAAUUCCACUAUUUUGGUUUCGAAAUGGUAAAAUUGUUUAUUUUAUGUAGAGCGCCAGUCUUCCCGACCACGUUCUUUCACGAAUGCGAAGCGAAUGACUUUCUCAGAGAAUUUUCCACAGUCAAGCGAGCUGCCAGAAUGUAAGGUUUGCAAAGACAAAAAUCCGAAUGAGCGCUUACGGGAAACAAAGUAAAUUUAGUGGCCGCAUAAUAGACAUCAUGAAGAGUAGAAUAGAAUUACGUGGUUUUCCUUCUCCCUUCUCGUUGGCUCUGUUUUUAUUCAAAUCUUUGCCAGCCUUUGUUUCCGCGAAGCCUUUGGACCACCAAAAAAUGCUCUGGAUCGGUUUCAUAAUAUACACGAGGAAAAAUAUUCAAUGUGUGACUCAUCAGUCUGACAAAAACCACACUUUUGCCCCCAAACCACAAUGAUCAGACACAAUAGCGAUGCUUAUGACACCCAUUUUGUACGCUCUAUUAGAUUCCUAUGGAGAAAAAGCCGCUCUCACAAUGCAAACACUCACUUGCACUUGCAAAUGGACAGAAUUUGUUUCUUGACAUUUCUAGUUUUACGAUAGACAUUUGCAAGACAGCUGUGAGCGCUGUGUUCUGAUCAAAUAGCUUUUCGCCAAGAGACCACUUUACCGCGGCCAAUGAUCCGCAAGUGAAGAUCUUGCAGUUCCUUAAAAGUGUACUUUUUGAUCCGCUGCACAGACUGCAGGAAGUAGUAGACCGUGCAACUCAUGGUUCGUUUGCCUUUUAUUUUUUGUAUAAGCUUAACCUGUAAGACCAAAACAUGGGGUACGAUACGUGGAAACAACACCUUGACAAAAGAAUCGCAUGUUAAACGGCAAUUCUAAUUCAUUCAGGCCCUACUGUAUCUAUGAAGUGAAAAUUGGACUUUCAAAGCUUCUACACGCUAAGAAAUCACCCACUAACGACCACUUGUGGAUGCAAUGACACAUCAGAGUGACUCUUUGUCUGGUUGCUGCUGAAGCACAAGUUUUAUUUUUGUACAAGAUCUUAGCUUGAAAUCACUUCAACUUCUUUAUUUAUUUUAUUUUAUUUUUUUUGCAGCACAUUCUGUCUUUUCCUCUCGCUCUCAUUCCACAUCCCUCCUUUCCUUGGCUGCACUGCUGACUGGCCUCUCCUGGGAGCGUGCCUGCUUUGAUUUGGAGCUCAGGUCCGAGCUCUGAAACCAAAGCUAAAACAAACACGCACUUGGCCACCACCUCUGCAAAUGCACACAUGCGUACGCCGCGCGCACGCAGCUGGAAACAAAGCGCAGAUUCCCCCCCCCCACCCCCCACCCCCCCCCCCCCCCCCCCCCCCCGCCUGCCUGCAGUUUGGAAGCAAAGUUUGAUGUUGUGUAUUUGUAAAGAAAAAAAAAAAAGCAUGAAUAAACGAAAGCUACAUUCCUCCGCCGGCACGUAAUGACUAAAACAAAUGCGUUUCACUAUCUGUCCAUUGACUGUGAUAUACGUGAUGUCAUUCGUUGGAUGGGGUGAAUGGAUAAAUGACCUGAAACGGACGGGGAAAACAAUUCAAGACAAAGAGAAUGUUCUUCAACUCAGUAUCUUGAUCAGAACCCAACAGAGCAUUUACUGACGACAAAAACGAAGGCAGCAAGACUCACAACGGCCUGGCAAAAACAAACAAAAAAACCCCCAAACAAAAUCCCCGAAAAUCUCCAGGAAGGACCACAAAUUUGGUCCUGAUGCGGAUUUGGAGCUGGGAGUCGCGGCUUGGAGUUUGAAGCGGAUUACGUGGGACAGGAGAAGUGAUGUGAGACUAAUAAAGGGUUUCUUCUUCUUCUUCUUCUUCUUCAAAUCAAUCACUCACAUCACUUCUGCACUCGAAAAUGGAACCCCCGUGUCAUCAAAUGUGCGGCCUCCCUAAAGACCAUCCCAUGAAAUGCCAAAUGCCAUGUUUUAGUUUUAUUUUUUUCUGAAACUACUUAAAUGAAAGCAAAGAGUCAAUCACAUGGUGUUUGUUUCAAUUCAAAUCCAUCGCGCCGGCGUUCAAAGGUGCGUUUGGGCCUCGCUCUACGCGAUCAUUAUCGCGUUGCCACAACAACAAAGACUUCAGCACAGAACCGUAUGUAAUUUGUUCUGGUUCGGAUUUAGCCCUUAUAUGUUACCCCCCCUGUCACCUCCCCCCUUUCUCCGUGCACAUGUGUGUAGCGAGCGCCGACAUAAAGGCUUCUUUAUUCAGCCCUGACAGCGAGAGGAAAUCAGCUUUAGAAGCAAAAACAGAGGGAGCCAGAGUGCGAUGGAGACCACAGGCCCGCACAUCUGGAGUUAUUACAAGGCCUCCCCCCCCCUCCUCCUCCUCCUCCCACACACACACACACACACCAACAAAACGCAGACAUUCCUCCCCCGGGCCUCCGCUCUCAUCCACAUCUCCUGCCUCCAUCCCUUCAGCGUGCAAAUCAUCGAUCACGCAUGGACAGAGUGGACUGGAUGGAGGGAUGCGGCGGGAUGAGCGAGAAACUUUACAACCGAACGAAUGGCCCUGGCUUCCUGUUCACCUUUGAACUUCCACUUUCUCCUUGGAAGCCGGCGAGGGCCGGGGGGGGGGGGGGGGUGUAGUGGUGGUGGUCAUGGUGGCAGAAAAGGGGAGGGAUGGGGGGGGGUGGUUAAGGCAAAUGUGAAGGAGGGUGCAGAGGAAGCAGAAAGGGACAGAGAAUGAGGUGGAGGGGGGAGCUCCUCCUCUUUCUCUCUCCCUAUCUCCUCUCUUGCUCCCGCUCGCCCAUUUUCCUCCUUCUGUCUCCUGGAGGGGAAACUUGUUGGUGGUCAGUCCGCUGCCACGUCAAGCCUCCAGCAAGGUGGACGCAGUGGAGUGCCAUUCUUUUUUUUUUUUUUCGGGGAGGGGGUGGGGGGCUGGGGUCUAACUUUGGGAAGGCAAACGAUGGGAAAAGUUUUCUAUUCUAGGUUUGACUAUUUACUCUUGCAGUCAAUGUGGAAGAUGAGCGCCCUCCCCUCUCCCCAUCCGCCUCACCCGCUCAAAAAAAAAAAAAGUGGAACAAGAAGUUGCAAAGAAGAGAUGCUCCAAUUUCAGGUAAGCCCAUUUACGAUGAAGAUGGGGGGGAAGUUGGGGAUGGCAGCACUUUCGCUGUACGCUUGAAAUCUCGGUUGCAAACUUUUUGUGAAUGUAAGCGAAAUAGACAAGCUUUCAACGCGUUUCCUCUCGACAGAUGUCUGGAAUGCGCCGCACAGCGGGAUGCUGGCUAGAAUCUGCCAUUCACCUCCAUCUCACCUCACCUCCUCCCACUCUAACCCUCACCCUCAUCCUCAUGGGUUCCAGUGAGUAAAAGCAUGCGCUCCGUUUUGUUUUGUUUCAGGAAAACGAAACAAAUAAAUGCAGCAUCCAUCAAGCCCGGCCCGCCCGCCCAGUGUUCAGACUACCUGUUCAGGAAGUAGUGGUUGUACAGUAGUCUGCACAUUGGUUAGGCUGGCCCGGGGAAGCACGGGAACAGAACCAGCACUUCAGAAGCAGCCCAGAAGAACCCAUUUGAGUGGUUCUGAAUGGACCACAAAAUCCUCAAAGAAAGUGACUCAGUGACGGUGCUGCUGAUGUCACCUUGACGCAAUGUAAUGAUUUUACUAAAUCGUGUUCAAUUUGUAAAAGAAAGAAAAGAAAUAAA